ACAGUGUCGCAAACGCCUAUGAUUCCCUCCUGGAUUGAAUGGAACAUGGGGACGAGCACCAUGGAAGAAAAGGCUGCUAUUGAGGGGCGUCAUGCGCACAGGAGCGAGUUAUGGAUUUAAGCAGACUUCUACUCCUGCUGUUGCUCGUGGUUUCUUCUAAGGUACCCAACGUCCAGACGAGAUCAAUGGACUUUGUGUGAGACACACGACUGGAGAAACAUGAACAACAUGAAGGACCUGGAGGUUGCCAUGGUGAGAGACACACGACUGGAGAAACAUGAACAACAUGAAGGACCUGGAGGUUGCCAUGGUGAGAGACACACGACUGGAGAAACAUGAACAACAUGAAGGACCUGGAGGUUGCCAUGGUGAGAGACACACGACUGGAGAAACAUGAACAACAUGAAGGACCUGGAGGUUGCCAUGGUGAGAGACACACGACUGGAGAAACAUGAACAACAUGAAGGACCUGGAGGUUGCCAU